rnacentral:misc_RNA from 1 species
GUUCGUAAAAAGCUCUGUAAAGAAGACUAUAAUAUUUAUCACUGGGCGAGAGGCGCUCUGGCCAGCCAAUUGGGAAACGCAGGCGGAUUCUCGACGGAGGGAGAGAAAUGGCGUCCUGGAAUUCGGUUCAGCUAGAAAUCACAUACGAAACUUUUGGAUGGAUCGCCUUCUUUUCUUGGUCUAUCAGUUUCUACCCGCAAGUUAUCUUGAAUUUCCGCCGGAAAAGCGUGGUGGGUUUGAACUUCGAUUUCAUGGUGUUGAAUUUGACCAAGCACUCCUCUUACUUGAUUUACAACGCUUCUCUUUUCUUCAGCUCUGCUAUUCAGAAGCAAUAUUUCGAAAAGUAUGGUCAUGAACAGAUGAUACCUGUAGCUGCAAAUGAUGUUGCCUUUUCAAUACAUGCUGUUCUGUUGACAGCAAUUAUGCUGUUCCAAAUUGCAAUCUAUGAUCGUGGCAAUCAAAAGGUCUCUAAGAUUGCUAUUGCUAUUGUCUGUGCUGUGUGGCUAGUUGCAGCUGUUUGUUUUUUCAUAGCUUUGCCUAGCCACUCUUGGUUGUGGUUGAUCUCAAUCUUCAAGUAAGUUGCCCAUUUGAUUCCUAACUUCAUGUGAACUUGACAUGAAAACCUCUUAAAUAUGAGGUGGUUUGUGAUGUAUAUCAAAUUUUAUUUUCAAGAUCUAAAAGUAUCGAAUCCUGAACUGUAUUAAUCAGGAUUUGGUUUAGUAGACUUAGAAGGUCACUACAUCGGCAGCAAGUAUUUUGGCGGUCAGAUCUUAUUAACAAAGCCACACUAGAGUGGCUUUCUGCUUAAUUUUUCUGGAAAGAUAACUUCUUCCUUCUCACUGAUGCUUCAAGAUUUUUCUUGAAAUUGAAAUAGGGUACCCUUUUUUUGGUGCAUCCAACUUUGACAUAGGUGUUCUGUGCCUGGCGAUAGAGUCAGAGUUUCCUGACUUAUUUUUUCAAAUGGGCUGUACUGUCUCAAAUUUAUGGUCCAUGUAGCCUCUUUUUCUUUAUCUACUUUUCAUUUGGUUUUUACCUUUGCUGUUACUGGGAUUGCCUUCCACUUGAUUUUUCAGUCAUGUAAUCUUUUUUUAGGACCAUAUAUAAUAUAUAUGCCUUUCCUAUAAGUUAAUGAUAUGGAAACUUUAGAAAAUCUCGAACUUCUUUCUUCAUAAGUUGGCAUUUCUGUCUCUGUUGUUGGUGUGGGAUUGCACUCUUGGUAGUCUAGAAAGUUGAAUACAUUGGCUUAACGUAGUAUGAUUAGUUUGAAUUUUGAAAUGAGUUCACUGGUCAUAUGCAAAGAAGAUAAAAGAGUGAAAAAUGAAGUUGUUUUCUACAGAGAAAAGAGUUCCCUGUAGGUAUAUAAUAAAUGCAUGGUGGUGAGAACAAAAUGACGCUUAUUUCUCUGUGUUUGUGCAGUAUAAACUUUCUUCGAUGAGUUUAUUUCAUUAUUUCUUUAUUAGUUUGUCAUUAGAUAGACUGAUGAGUCACUGUUUUAAAUUUCUUUAUAAUGCUUUGCUACAUUUUCCCUCUCUGCAGCUCAAUUCAAGUUUUUAUGACAGUCAUCAAGUAUAUUCCCCAGGUCUGAGUUGCUUCCUUCUACUUUUCCUUUAAAAGUCCAUCUAAGCCUAGACUAAGUGCCAUCUAUGUUGUGGUAACGGGGGUGGUAAAGCCUAAGUGACCCAUUUGUAUGGCUUGGUUUCAAACCUGUCUGCAUGAGCACUACAUGACAGGAUAAUAAUACAUUACAAUGAAGGCAGUGACAGAUGCAGAAAUUUUAAUAUGGGAGUCCAAUUAAAAUAUACAUAUUAUCUCUAAAAAUAAACGUGAAAAUCUUCACAAUAUAUGUUAUGUUAAAAAUUAAAAUUUCUAAACUAUCAUUGAAAAUUUAGACUACAUUUAAAAUUUGACAAAUUUUCAAAUUUAUAAAUUUGUUAGCUCAAACUUUUGAAUAUUGACUAUUUUUUUAUUACCCUAAUCUUGAUAUUACAAAAAACGUAAACAUAUAUUGUCUAAUAAUAAUGAAGUCAUAUAAAUUUUGAUGCUGACAUGAUAUGGCACCUCUAAUAUUGUUUGUGAUUGCUUUGAGAUACAGGCAGUAAUGAACUUCAUGCGAAAGAGCACUGACGGCUUCAGCAUUGGGAACAUUUUGCUUGACUUUCUUGGAGGCAUAGCAAAUUAUGCCCAAAUGGCUGUUCAGUCUAUAGACCAAAAUUCUUGGGUGAACUUUUAUGGCAACAUAGGGAAGACAUUGCUGUCUUUGGUCUCUGUAUUCUUCGACCUCCUUUUCAUGUUUCAGCAUUAUAUAUUAUAUCCUGCCAAGAAAGCGCACAUCUCUCCCAAGCCAAAUGAAGAGGGGGCAGAGCCGCUUGUUAAGUCUGCCGAUGGCCCAUCAUCAGAAAAUGUGUAAGGCUUACCUUGGCCGAUAACAUUAGAAAUAAACAUAUAGAUUUGUGUAAAGAUAGUCAACAUUGAUGCUGUUUCUUUAUCUUGUAUUUGCCUGUUGUACAAGAACAAAUGCAUCCAUAGUCAUUGAAUUAUAAGUAGCUGAAAGAUAAAGUAUUUAUGUAAAUGUAAGAGCUGUUUCUUCCAUAAGUAUUUCAAAG